GCUCAGUCAGCAUUCUCCUUGUCCCACUGCAGGCACAUGCUGCCCUAGCUCUUUCAGAGUUAAGCCAGGGACUCAAAUGGGUCAGCAUAUUGCUCAUCUGCUAGGGGCUUUCUGGUUUACGAAGUCCUUUUCCAUCUGUGCCAUCUUCACAGCCCUAUGGAGACUCUGCAUGGCCCCCUCCAGCUCUUCUAGCCUGUAGCUCUGCCGCAGUGAAGUCCACAUUAAAUAUUAACAGGGCAGCUCCUGGCACAGCUGUGACGUCAAUUACUGGGCUGCAUGGUGAGGGCCGAGGCUGCCUUUCCAAGGUGAAGCAGUAACUGGAAUUCAACUGGCUCAAAUGGCGUCCCAGGGGACUGGCUGUUGGGACUCAGAGAAGAUGCUGCUAAUCCACAGGCAACCCAAGUAGCCGUCUCAGCUCAGCGAGACACAAAAUGUCACCGGCGAUCCCAGUGUGAGUUGCUGGUCUCGGCUUCUUUGAGAUGGUGGAAACCAGAGUCAUGAUGGCAGUGGGCAGACGGGGAGAGUUUUCUUGAUGGAGAAGGUAAGAGAUCCCUUUGUUUCCUGAGUCGGGGCCAGCCUGCCAUUGUCGUCUGGAAGAAGACAGAAGCCUGUAGCAAUCUGCUCUCCUCCUACUCACAUACUGGGAAGAAAAGAUGUUUUUUAGCACAGUUGCCUGGCAGGGAACCUUGGUGAAAACUCAGCAACCCUCUCCCUUACUUCCCAGGGUACCGUUUAAGCAGGAGCUGAUGACAGUUAUGCUCACAGCUCAACAACCAAAAGAGUAUUCACAGGCUCUCAGAAGGUCAGGGGCAGCAGUGGAAAGAAUGGUGAAGGUAGAGUGGGUCUGGAUCCUGGUUUCUGCCCUGCUUUCUGUGCUGCAGUUGAGAAUACAUUUAACCUCAGUUUCCUCAUCUGUAAAAUUGAAACAAUACUGACCUUACUUUAACCAAGUGGGAGCACACUGGCAAACUGCUGCCCCUGACCUACAGAGUAGGUUCUUGUUACCCUCUUCCACUCCAUGUAUUGAUGUGGUCCAAACACUGGUCCUCUGAAGCAUCCCUGUUUCAUCUCUUGAGUUGUCAUUGCCGUUAUUUCUUGAACUUCCAGUGGUGAAAUACCCUAGACCUUCAGAGCUAGAAAAAAGAAAGGACCCUGCCACCCACCAAUGCAGCCUCCCAUUUUACAAAUAAGACAUCCAAGGCUCACAGAGGGGAAGUCACAGCACUCGGGCCCCGUCCUCCAGCUUUCCAAGACCACAUAGUCCCUCGCACCUGGGCCCACCUCGUGGGAACCACACAGAUGCUUGAGGCAAUUAUCCAGAUGGUUCCAGCCAAAGGAUCUGGAAAAUUCUGGCUAAGAAACACAAGUCCUCAACCAACUGCAGAACUGAAGCAAAAGCCUUUUUCGCCAUCAUUUUAACUGCGAUUCCAUAGGUGACAGCUUUGCCUUCUCCCCCAGAGCUGAGCUCCUCUGAACAAGCUUGAGGGGGGGCGGGUGCUGAAAAUGGGGCUCCGAGCUCCACCAGCUCGCAGAUUGCAGCUACCAGGACAUUUUCACACUUCUUAAUGCCAAAAUCUGCGUUGGGAGCUGAUCUGCUCUCAAAGAGGGCUUUGAGAGUGGUGGAAGGCUCUGGAUGAUCUUAGACACAGGGGGUGGAAUGUGGUAUCAGCGAAGAACACUGGGGCCAAAGCAAAUGGCAGGAAGCAGGUGUGAGUGGCGAGGCUGUGGGUGACUGCCUGGACCACCAAGCAAGCAUCUGACCCUUCUAGGUCUCAUUUUCCUCAUCCAUAUAAAGGGAUAACAACCUCCUACCAAGAGUUGCGAGAAUUUGGUGAGAUAGUAUAUGGGGUAAAGUGUUUACCCCCAAGCCAGGCAGAGAGCCAGGGCUUAAUAAGCAAGAGCUGCUGCUGAUGCUGUUGGGGGCCAUGCUAUUAUCAGCAGCUCAGGAUCAGCCAGGUCACCUGGCCAGCAGGAGGCCUGCAUUUGGGAAAAAAAAUUAAAAUCCUAUCUGGGUGACACAAAUCUGUGGGCAGGUGGCCCCUUCUGCUCAGGGUGGUAACCAUGCCAACAGUGUGCACGCCAUCUCUCCAGAACAAUACCAGGUCUUCUUUGUAAUAUGUCCCUUGGUGUCUGGACUUCUCAGGAAGCUCAGAAUGUCCCAGAGUACCCGAGGAAAAAAACAGGACGUUCCUUUUCUGGGUCACCUAUUCACUGUGCUCCAGUGGAGGGUUAUGACAAUGCUUUGGAAAUUCAGACCCAAGCGACCACAGUCAUUACCGCAGCCUCAGGGUGGGACGCAGCAAGGAAUUAUCAUAUAGCUGUGAUGGCUGGUGCUUCCCAUGUGCUGGCACUGUGCAGGCGCGGUACAAACACGCUCUUGCCGACUGCCAGCCCCAAGAAACAGGUGUGGUUAGUCCAGGUUUACAAGUGGCCUGCCCAAGGAUACUCAGCUGGUAACUGGCAGAGCAGGAUUGGAACCCAAGUUCAGAUCCUUUUCCCCCAUUACACCACAGACAGGUUCUCAGGUCGCCAGAGGGGGUUUGCUCUGUUCCCUGAGCGAGACCUGUACCAGGUGAAGAUGCAGCAGACCUGCCCCUGUGUGGGGACCUGCUCUGAGCUCUGGGGCAACACAGCGAGUUUGACAUUAAUCACCAGCCCCCUUCCUCUGGUUCAGGGGCUCUCUUUGAAGUUGUUCAAAGGCCAUGUUUCUUGAUGGGACUUAGAGCCCUGGGAGUAGGUGACCUGCCCAAGGCGGUUGUCCUGGUCUUUAUUUACGAGGUUUUGGGGAGUUGGCAGCUCUCUCCUGAGGGUGAAGAAGGUGGGUGCUGCUAGAAGUGUGUAGGCUGUAAGAGGGGAGGUUGUGUGUGCUUUCCACAAUCUGAAUGACCCUGAAGGGGGAGCCAUACCUUGGCCCCUUCUCAGCUAAGGCGAGGGUAGCGUGGGGCCAUCAGGCUGGGGAGUCUGCUGGACCUGAGUUUGAAUCCUGGCUCUGUUGAUUACCAGCUGUGUGACUUUAUUCCAGUCAUGGAGCAUCUUUGAGCCAGUUUCCU
rnacentral:lncRNA from 1 species